rnacentral:ncRNA from 1 species
UCGGUAGUUUUUUGACAUUCCUUUGCAGCAGGGAAACCCGUGAAAUCCGGGUACAGUUCCCGCUACUGUGAUUGCUAAGUGGUUCUUUUAAACCAUCUUCGGUUUCAUAAACUGGGGAGAAGGGAAAGAAUUUUAGAGCGUAAGUCAGGAGACCUG